GCUUACGGCCAUACCACCUUAGGCACGCCCGAUCUCGUCUGAUCUCGUAAGCUAAGCAGGGUCGGGCCUGGUUAGUACUUGGAUGGGUGACCGCCUGGGAAUACCAGGUGCUGUAAGCA
rnacentral:rRNA from 1 species